AAACAUGUGGUAACUGAAAGAUAUAAUGCAAAUAUAGAAAUGUCUGAUCAGGGGUCUUCUUUUUGUGUCCUAUUAUAGGAGGGAAUGGGGAGCUGGGAAGUGGCGGUCUAUGCCUUUAUGGUAGUUGUUGCUUGCAAUUUACGUUCUUAUGUUCACGUCUAUAACUUAGAAUACAAUAAGGAAAGACUACCUUAUUGGCUAAUUGCUGCUCAACUGGCCAUUAUGUUACUCUAGGUGGCGGUGUUUAUGUUUAUGGCUACUCUGUGCCUAUGUGGAAUAGCCUUGUCAUUCGAUCAUGAUAAUUCCUCGGGUUUUUUUUUUUUAUUUUUAUUUUUUAUUUUUUAUUUCUGUUUUAUCUAACAAAAGGGCUCAUAGCUUAUAACUGAACUGGACAAUUUUACAGGAAAGAGUGCCACUGCUUGCUAUUCCUAACCCCUGACAAUGAUUUUGCUGGAAAGGAUCAGACUAUCACCUUGGAUGAAAUUCGGGAAUUGACAGCAAAUAUGUGAUUUUAUGAACUGAAGCCUCUUAUGCGUAGCCACAGUAGGCCUGUACAUUACGUAUUAUCAUGAGGAUGCCAAUAACUGUUGUACUGUUAUGCUGUAAUGCCUGUAUAUACUCUUAUUUUGGAGAGCCUUGUCAUCUCUAACUCUAAGCCUUAUCAAGGUAUAUAGCCAUACUCAUGUAUCUGAGUUUGUAUUUGAUUUUAU